CCAUAAGUUCGGGAUUUAUGGAGGCGGUCUAUACAUGCAAGUCGAGCGGACCGACGGGAGCUUGCUCCCUUAGGUCAGCGGCGGACGGGUGAGUAACACGUGGGUAACCUGCCUGUAAGACUGGGAUAACUCCGGGAAACCGGGGCUAAUACCGGAUGCUUGAUUGAACCGCAUGGUUCAAUCAUAAAAGGCGGCUUCGGCUGCCGUUUACAGAUGGACCCGCGGCGCAUUAGCUAGUUGGUGAGGUAACGGCUCACCAAGGCGACGAUGCGUAGCCGACCUGAGAGGGUGAUCGGCCACACUGGGACUGAGACACGGCCCAGACUCCUACGGGAGGCAGCAGUAGGGAAUCUUCCGCAAUGGACGAAAGUCUGACGGAGCAACGCCGCGUGAGUGAUGAAGGUUUUCGGAUCGUAAAGCUCUGUUGUUAGGGAAGAACAAGUACCGUUCGAAUAGGGCGGUACCUUGACGGUACCUAACCAGAAAGCCACGGCUAACUACGUGCCAGCAGCCGCGGUAAUACGUAGGUGGCAAGCGUUGUCCGGAAUUAUUGGGCGUAAAGCGCGCGCAGGCGGUUUUCUUAAGUCUGAUGUGAAAGCCCCCGGCUCAACCGGGGAGGGUCAUUGGAAACUGGGGAACUUGAGUGCAGAAGAGGAGAGUGGAAAUUCCACGUGUAGCGGUGAAAUGCGUAGAGAUGUGGAGGAACACCAGUGGCGAAAGCGACUCUCUGGUCUGUAACUGACGCUGAGCGCGAAAGCGUGGGGAGCGAACAGGAUUAGAUACCCUGGUAGUCCACGCCGUAACGAUGAGUGCUAGUGUUAGAGGGUUUCCGCCCUUUAGUGCUGCAGCAAACGCAUUAAGCACUCCGCCUGGGGGAGUACGGUCGCAGACUGAAACUCAAGGAAUUGACGGGGCCCGCACAGCGGUGGGAGCAUGUGUUAAGUCGAGCACGCGAGACUUACAGUCCUGACAUCUCUGACAUCCUAGAGAUACGGCUCCCAUCCGGGGCCAGAGUGACAGUGGUGCCAUGAUUGUCGUCACGCUCGGUCUGAAUGUUGAUAGUCGCAUAGAGCAACUGACUUAUGCAGCAUUCAUUGGCCACUCUA
rnacentral:rRNA from 1 species